UACGGGGGGAGCAAGCGUUGUUCGGAUUUACUGGGCGUAAAGGGCGUGUAGGCGGCCACCGCAAGUCGGUUGUGAAAUCUCCGGGCUUAACCCGGAAAGGUCAAUCGAUACUGCGGGGCUAGAGUGCAGAAGGGGCAACUGGAAUUCUCGGUGUAGCGGUGAAAUGCGUAGAUAUCGAGAGGAACACCGGUGGCGAAGGCGGCAUCCUGGACCGGCAUGACGCUGAGGCGCGAAAGCCCAGGGGAGCAAACGGG
rnacentral:rRNA from 1 species